rnacentral:misc_RNA from 1 species
AAGAGCCAUUGUGAUAUUCACUGCUGAGACGUAAACAUAGAAAAUGGAACCGGUGACUGUGGAUCGAGUUUUGCGAAUGAUACUUCAUUCUUAUUUCGUGUUAUGUAUAUUGUCAGUAUUAUCUGCAGCUGAUGAGUGUGUCAAGGUUGACACCUGUACAUGCAAGACAUCAACACGGACGAUAAAUCUGCACCCGUUAUCAGCAAACACUGGACCAAGAUUCACCAUUCCUGUUGCAGGCUCGGACAAAUACUUCUACAAUCCAUGUAAAGAUUUUACAGAGGGAACUUCAACUGGUGUGGUUAUUCAACUACAAGGUGGAGUGUACUAUGUAACUGGAGAUGACAAUACAGCAACCUUUAGUGGUGACCCUGACCUUGGCACCUUGACCUUGAGCUAUCAACAUGCAGAGGGCGGGAUCAUCAGAAUUUCAAAAGUGAAGUUAGUUUGCAUGGAAGGUACAAAUCAACUGAUCUUUAAUGAAGAAAACCCCAAACUGAAUUAUAAAUUUACGUUGAACACAGAAUAUGUGUGCAUCCCUGGGAGUCAGUCGGGCCUGAGUACAGGAUCAAUACUUGUUAUUUUAUUCUUUGUGCUUCUGGUGGUGUAUUUGAUAGCAGGAAUCUUGUUCCUGAGGUUUAUCCGAAAAGCAGAGGGAUUAGAGUUGGUUCCGAAUUAUGAUUUCUGGACUGCUAUACCUUCCUUGAUACGGGAUGGAAUUUAUUUCACUCUCCGAGGAUUCAAGACUGAAUCAACAUAUCAGAAGAUUUGAUAGUCUCUUCAUGUUUCUUGUUAUUUGUGUGUGAGAGGAACUCAGGUUUUCACUGGUGUCACUGGUGCAUAGUGCAUAGUUCAUAAUAUCAAAAUCUCAUGUGUGAAAUCGAACUUAUUUAUGCAUACGUAGUUUUCUAGACAUAUUCCAGAAUGUAUAUAUUUUUGAAAUAAUAGAUGAUAGCUAUGUGUAAUAUAUUUUCAAGAAGAUAUGUUUUGAAUAAUUCCAUGCAAAGAUUUCUUCAACAUGAUAUUUUCCAUCUAUUGCUUUGUGUCGGUUUGAAUCGUCAGUUGGUUGUGACAAGCAGAAAGUCUGCUAAAGAAACCGCUAGGUGGAUACUUCCAAUAACAGAGGGGCACAGGUGGCCCAGUUGUCUUAGGUGCUGCAAUUCACUGUGCAGAGUUGUGUCCCUUGGACAUGAAUGAUCAUGGGGUUGAGUCUUGGUUCUGCCCUAUGAUGUUUCUAGGUUUGUCAGCACUAUACCCGUGCUUGUGGGUUUCACCGAAGUGGUAAACGUCUGAGACCUGCAUCACUUCAGGCUUUCCUCCCACAUUAAGCUGACAUCCCGUGAUAUAACUGGAAUACUAUUAAAAGUGGCAUAAAGCCCAGCUCACUCCACCAAAAGUUACGGAACUUUUGCUAUGAUCUUAUUUAGCAGUGGUCUAAAGUUGUCUAGUUGUUGCAGUUGGAGUGAGUGAGUGAGUGUGUAUGGUUUUUACGCUGCUUUUAGCAAUAUUCCAGCAAUAUCAGCGCGGGGACACCAGAAAUCGGCUUCACACAUUGUACCCAUGUUGGGAAUCGAACCCGGGUCUUCGGCAUGACGAGCGAAUGCUUUAACCACUAGGCUACCCAACCGUCCCUGUUGCUGUUGGAGAUGGAGGAGUUGGAGAUAAGGGUGCAUGGGCAAUGUAUCUCUUUGAAUGUUUGAUAAGAAAGAUUUAACACAAACUUUCUACCGUGACGUUCUUCAAUUAUGAUAUAUAUCCAACCUGCUUUUGUAUGUUCUGUAAGAUAAGACUGUGUUGAAUGAUGUAUGAGAGAUUCAGCUUCUUUUUGUUAGAUCUGAAGUAGAUGUGGAUCCACAUGUAUGUAAUUCCUGCCACUGUUUGCCCACUAGGGGAUACCAAGUUUUGGCUAUUAGAUCUGAAGUAGGCGUGAAUCCACAUGUAUCUUGGCCCUGCCACUGUCUGCCCAGAGGUUCCAAGUUUUGACUUUUAGAUCUGAAGUAGAUGUGAAUCCAUAUGUAUCUCGGUCCCAAGUUUUGGCUAUUAGAUCUCAAGUAGAUGUGAAUCCAUAUGUAUCUAGGCCCUGCCACUGUCUGCCAAGAGGUUCCAAGUUUUGACUUUUAGAUCCGAAAUAGACGUUAUUCCAUAUGUAUCUAGGUCCUGCCACUAUAUGCACAGAGGCUCCAAGUUUUGACUCUUAGAUCUCAAGUAGACGUUAUUCCAUAUGUUUCUAGGUCCUGCCACUGUCUGCCCAGAGGUUCCAAGUUUUGACUUUUAGAUCUCAAGUAGAUGUGAAUCCAUAUGUAUCCAGGCCAUGCCACUGUAUGCACAGAGGCUCCAAGUUUUGCCAAUUAGAUCUCAAGUAGAUGUGAAUCCAUAUGUAUCUAGGUCCUGCCACUGUCUGCCCAGAGGUUCCAAGUUUUGGCUAUUAGAUCUGAAGUAGACGUUAUUCCAUAUGUAUCUAGGUCCUGCCACUAUAUGCACAGAGGUUCCAAGUUUUGGCUCUUAGAUCUGAAGUAGACGUUAUUCCAUAUGUAUCUAGGUCCUGCCACUAUAUGCCCAGAGGUUCCAAGUUUUGGCUAUUAGAUCUGAAGUAUACGUUAUUCCAUAUGUAUCUAGGUCCUGCCACUAUAUGCACAGAGGUUCCAAGUUUUUACUCUUAGAUCUCAAGUAGACGUUAUUCCAUAUGUAUCUAGGUCCUGCCACUAUAUGCACAGAGGUUCCAAGUUUUGACUCUUAGAUCUCAAGUAGGUGUGAAUCCAUAUGUAUCUAGGUCCUGCCACUGUCUGCCCAGAGGUUCCAAGUUUUGACUUUUAGAUCUGAAGUAGAUGUGAAUCCAUAUGUAUCUAGGUCCUGCCACUAUAUGCACAGAGGCUCCAAGUUUUUACUCUUAGAUCUCAAGUAGAUGUGAAUCCACAUGUAUCUAGGUCCUGCCACUUUCUGCCCAGAGGUUCCAAGUUUUGACUCUUAGAUCUCAAGUAGGUGUAAAUCCAUAUGUAUCUAGGUCCUGCCACUGUAUGCACAGAGGCUCCAAGCUUGACUUUUAGGUCUCAAGUAAAUGUGAAUCCAUAUGUAUCUAGGUCCUGCCACUGUCUGCCCAGAGGUUCCAAGUUUUGACUUUUAGAUCUCAUGUAGAUGUGAAUCCAUAUGUAUCUAGGUCCUGCCACUGUCUGCCCAGAGGCUGCAAGCUUUGACUUUUAGAUCUGAAGUAGAUGUGAAUCCAUAUGUAUCUAAUUCCUGCCACUGUCCUUCCAAUAGGAGAUUCAAAGUUUAAGCUUUUACAUCCUAAGUAGUAAACUGACACACUAAAAUUGCAUAUUUGAUUUUUUGUAAUAUUUUGCAAAAUGGCCACAAAAAUCAAUUGAAAUUGCUCAGAGCAUUUGGGCAUGAGAUAAUCAACACAAUGUCAUCGUUGGGGUUCAAGUCUCAUUUGAUGUGUUUCGAUAUAGACACAGAAAAACACAGCUUGUCUGAUGCUUCAAAUUUUGAUUGUGUGUUUUUCUGUGUGCCAGUAUAUGAAACUCCUGCCAUGGUCUGCCCAGAUAUUUCAAGUUUUGGCAGUUAGAUCUGAAGUGUAUGUGGAUCCACGUGUCUCCCUACGUCCUGCUACUUUCUAAUAACAAGUUACAGCUUUCUGAUUUAUUAUUAUCCCCCGUUACGAAGUGGAAGGCGGAUAUAGGAAUGGUAGCUGUCCAUCCAUCCAUGACGUUUUGUUUCUGGAGCCGAACUAAAAAACCAUGAAGGAUAUCUUAACCAAACUUGUCACAUAGAUAGGUCUAGUGGUGAACUGGUGCCUUUUGAUAGUUUGGGAUUUUUAAAAAAGAUUCUUUUUAAGUUUCCAUAGUCACGACUUGGACUUAGACUGAAAGUGGUGGUAGUGCCCGUUUCUGGAGGACUGAUGCCUUGCACACAACCAGUCAUGUCAUAUUGGCGGGGGAUAUGAGUAUUUCAUGCUUAUUAUAUGUUAAUUGAAUACUAUUACUCAUUCUUAUUUCCCUUCCAUGGAUUUGUCCCUACUUUAUGAGUGUUAUCCUGAACCCAAAGUGUUUAAGCAAAGUGUGAAAGGUAAAAUAUACUGUAAGUCAUGAAAUUAAUGCAAGCCUUACUUAAUGCAAAAUACAUAAUAACAAAUCUCAUAAUAAACAAUGUAAUUGGCGCUAGAUUAAGACAGUGCUUCUUACCAUGUUCAUUGUCAAGUGUGGUCAACUUGUUUACACAUGUUGAUCAAACAGUUAUGACUGUCGCAAACCAGGUAGGACAGCAUCUUUGUUCUUGGUAAGCUUGUCAAAUAAUCUUACAUAGUGAUAAUGUCCAGUACAGUUACAGCAGCCGGUAAAGCAUUUCGCAAACUGUUUUAACAAGCUUUGUCAGUGAUCCGAGCUAUCUCUUUUGAAUAUGCGUUGUCUGAAAUUUCCUGUUUUUGAGUUCCUGAAAGUUUUAUCACAUGUAAAGCAGUUAAGUUAAGUUGUGAGAUAACAACAUAUCAUCCCACACUAUAUGAUUGAAUUCCAUGUCUACAACCUUUAUCUUAUUGUUUGCUGAUUAACUUUUGAAGGGUACUCACAUUAAUCUGGUGAAAUUAACUUCAUGAUUUACAGUACAUUUAUUUUUGUCAAGGAAAGAAUGAUGGAUAUAUUUAUUUUGUUUGUUGUUUAACAACACACUCUGCAACAGUCCAGCUUAUAACAGCGGUUUGUAAAUAAUUGAGUGGAUCAGACGACCCUCUGGUAGACAUCAUGAGCAUCAGCCUUUGCAUUUUGAUAUGAUGACCUGCAUCAAUGAGUCAACAAGCCUGACCACCCGAUCCCGUUAGUCUCCUAAUUUUAAUCUGGAUCUUCACAGGUUGAAGGACAUAUACUGCCCCAAGUUUGGCCUGUUAGAUCUAAAGAUGUGGAACCCAAGUUAACUUCAUUUUGCUUCUGUACACUCUUGCUAUUCAUGCAAUAACUAACAUGGUAGAAGGUAAUAUAUUGUCAUGGAGAUGUACAUUGCAAGCAUUGCAUUUGAUUGGCAUUUCUUUCAUUUUGUUUCCAUAAACCAAAGAAAAUAUGCCAUGCCCAAAAGAAGACUACGGUUUUGUGAUUGGCUGAUAAUAGAAUGGGAGGGGCUUAAAAUGCAUUAUUGUGCUGAAUGAUGUCACUCCUUUCAUACUGUUCACAGUUUUUUGUGUAAAUGAUUACAUGAGAAAGACGUCUGUAAAUUUAUUAUUGGUGGUGUAUUCAUUUAUAAGAAUUGUCUUCCAUGUUUUUUGCAUUGUGGAUUUACAUAGUAUGCACACCAGUUUUUACGUUUUUACAUACAUAAGCGCUAUUGAUACCGAAGUCACUUCUUUAUUUAUUUAAUACUAUUUGUUAGGCUAAUGGUAAUUUUGUCUUAGGCGCCACGAUUCACUGUGCAGAGUCACGUCCCCUGGGCACGCCAGAAACCUAUGAUUGCUGGUUCGAAUCCCGGUUUGCCCCGAUUAUCUUUCUGGGUUUGUCAUCACCAUACCUGUGCUCGUGGGUUUC